rnacentral:pre_miRNA from 1 species
UCUAACUUUAACUGUCCGUCUUAUAUAAAAUUUUUUUAUAAUUCGUAUUUUCAUUGUUGUUAGAUGAUAAAACAUGAUUAAUAUUUUAUGCGUGACUUAUCUUUUUAAUUUUUUUAAAUAAGACAGACGGUUAAAUGUUAGACAUGAAAAUCAGCG